GAACUACUCCCUCCGUCCCAAAAUUCUUGUCUUAACUUUGUCUAGAAAUGGAUAUAUCAAAAUACUAAAACUUGACUAGAUGCAUUUACAUCUAAACAAAUCUAAGACAAGAAUNNNGGGACGGAGGGAGUAUAUA
rfam:Hordeum vulgare subsp. vulgare, WGS project CAJW01000000 data, contig: morex_contig_53107